rnacentral:lncRNA from 1 species
GAGCCUGUGACUUUUCAUUUUCUCUCUCAUUAUCAUUGUGUGAUCCCUCCUAUGUUCAACAGGGUCCUUUGCUUUUGUUGUUAGAUCUUCUAUAUGACCAGGUUUAUCGCCUGGAAACUACAAUAUGAAAACACGUAUAAUCAAAUUUCAGACAAUCUAAAUGUCCUCCAAACAUAGUUGACGGACCUCAACCCUUUGCCUCAGCAAUAGAUAUCUUCCAUGGGUUCUCUUUCCCCCAACAUGCACAAUCAUAUCACACUGCAGGCACAAGGAGCUGCCAUCUAUCUCACAGUAAAAGAAAGCUACAUGGAUACAAAGUGAUCAGGUUGGGCCCUUAGUAUACAGGAAAAGCAUUUUAAUAAAGAUACAACAAACAGACCAGGUGCAUUUUCACAUAUGUCACAGCGAGGAACUUCCCUGGGGUCAGCAAGUCCUACUCGUACAUGCCGGCUAGCGAGUUUGUUGCACAUGUGAACCUACAGAGACAAUUUCAAGAGUUACCAGUGAUUUAGACGAGUUUUACCACAUAUCUUUGGAAGAAGCCUAGGCAGCAAAUAGAGUUUUGGUUUGCUUUCUAAUUGGAGAUAAGCAAAUAACAUAAAUGACAAAUGACAUGUACACAUAUGCAUAUGUCGACAUAAAAGUAUGGAAAUUUUGAUGCAUGCACUAGUCUAUGUUCAUUAAUGAACAUGAGCAUAUAGUUAAAAAUCUUCAUCAGAACAAUAUAGAAAUUUUUUAUGCUUGUACAUGUCUGUCUUCCAAAAUAACAGAAUAUUAAAGUUUCUUUCAGGCGCAAGUGAUGUAUAGAAACAUCAAGUGAUGUAUAGGCAUCGACGUUUAUGUGUAUAGACAUGCAUAUUGAUUAACUUAAAGGAUACAUAAAGAUAUACCACAAAUCAUACAUCCACUUAUUCAUUCAUAUCUAUAUGCACAAAAUGAUUUUAUCGACAUUUUCCAAAUUAAAACAAAAUGAAAUGCAAGUUAGAGGACAUAGGUUAUUGAUCACCUUAAGAGAAGUUCAGAGACUAUAAUUAACAUGCGUAGGACAAGCAACACGUAACAAUAGCAAGAAGGGAUUGUAUCUCACACAAAGACCACUAUAUACAUGCUAUAUUUAAACUACUUAUCCAAAACCAAGAUACCUUUUUCUACAGAUCUUCUGAAGUUCAAAUUUGGUUUCUUUUGACUUAAAUGUUGGUUAUACAUGCUUUCAUGCACUUGUGUAUUAGUUUGUAGUGGAAACUUACAUCUUUUCUCGUUCUUUUUUUUUUAAUCAACUCUUCCUGGUUUUCAGGUUCUUAAAUACAGCAAUUUAAAUGCUCAUGUAAGCUAUUACAUUAUAUGCCAGUGUUCUGCUUCCCACAAUUCUUUAUUUAGCACCUUUUAACAAUGUUACAGGCCUCCUUUUUCCUUUGAGAAGAAAUACUCAGUUAUCCAGGAAAAUCCAUAAUAAUCAUUGCCAUCUAGUUAAUUAAGUUAACCAAUCCAAUGAGACUGUAGGCAAGGUUCACAAAGUGAACUAAAUCUUCUUGGACACUCCUUUUCAUCAGCCAACAUCAUCAGAGUUAGAUAUAUGCAGCAUUACCAUCAUGGAGGCUGUUUCGAAGACCCAUAUCCAUGAUGCCUUGGUCACAAUAGAACAAACAACCUUAUCAUCAUGCCAAGGGCUGACCUCUAAUGAACUAUAAAAUGAAAAGUAAAAGAAGUCUAGACAACAAAGACAAGUAGCCAAAUGCAUAAAAAAAUAUUCAAUUUUCGCUCUGCCUUUUUGAGUCAUUCUUUUAGCUGAUCAUAUAUUAGUACUAUGUGAGGUUUUUUUUCUUUUUUGUGGUGGAACAAACUGGAAGAGAAACCCCCACUGCAUGAUUAGUGAAAAUGUAAUAUUUCCAAGAUAGCUGAAAAAUGUAACUGCAAUAAAAGUUUAUCCAUGACUAUAUAUACAUGCAUGGUUGAUGAAUCGCGAACAUCACAAACAAAUUAACAUGGACUUCUCUUGGAACAUUUGUGACAUUGGAUAAUAGCAAGGAAACUGGUGUUGCCUGUAUUGAUAUAUACCAGCCGGUAUUUACCAGUCUGGAUAUGAACAAGGAUGUGGACUGACCCUUUCCAGAUGGUCCGGCUGCCCACCCUAGCUCUCGGUACUUCUCCUUCUCCUCCUCCUCCUCCACCUCCUCCUCUCCUUGGUACCGCAGUAUAUACAAGCAUAUUGUGUGUCAAUAUGCUAAUAUGGACAGGACCCAUACUGGUCUGGCCAUGUACUGGCACAGAUCCAGUACUGGAAACUUAAAACUUGGGUUAUAGUUACUUGAUAUUACUCUAGUGCUUGACACUUGCCAUUUGAUAUUACUACCAUCAUAGUAAGUGUACAUUGCAUGGGAACAAUGAUACCGCAGUGAUAUCUAUUUCUUACUGAUCAUUUGAUGUUUUACAAGACAAGGCAUAUGUCCCAAGGGAUGCAUUCACUCAAUUCUGCCAUCUUACUUUAUGUGAUGCACCACAGCACCAGAAUGUGCGUUCUACGUUGUAUUUUUACACUUCAUCACUGUCUAGCACUACACUAAAUUCCAAUGGUAUUCUUCAUAGUUCAUAAAUAGCCAUUAGUAGAAUACCAUAUUUAGCACCUUAGUUUAGCAGUUCAUAUUUUAUGCUUGGUUAAAGAUUUCAAAACUUAGUUUUUCUUAGGGUUUAUAUUUCUCAAGGUGGCUUUGGUAUAGCUGGCUUAGGAGUUAGGCUUGGUUCAAAAUUCAAAAGUUGCCCAGAUGAAAUUCUGCAAUAUGAUGAAACCUGUCAUUUACCUCCAAAUUCUCAUCAAAGUCUAUCAUGAAGCCUAGCAAAGUCAUGGUCAGUUUCCAUGCUUAUUCUCGGAUUACUUUCCUUAUAUAUCAACAACUUUUACAAAAUUAAUGCGGCUUGUUACAGAUGAGAACUAACAACGUAUCUUGCAGUCAGAAAUCAAGUACGGAACACUAGUUUUUACACAAUUGGCUUUUUUUUCUAAAUUACAAAUAGAAGGUUUUAUCACAGACUAGGAUGUUCGACAACAAUAUAGAGCAGCAAUUGUAUUUUUAUUGAUGUAUCCAUGAUUUUACAUAUCAAAAGUUCCCAAGCUCGCUUGUACCAGUAAACACAUCUAUCAUCUCUGUAACACAUAUUCAUAUCCAGAUAACAAGGAACAAAAACUAGCUACACAGAAUCAGCCAGAGAUGGAGCCAUUAGCUCGUAACACAUCUUGUGAUUAAUUUAUGUAGUUACUAGAUUGUGUCUACUUAGCAUCUCAAAGAUUUAUUAGUUGAAGAAGCGAAGGCAGAAACAGGUAGUAAAUAAAAUACUUCGUAAGGAAGAUAUAUGUAGCAUGCUGCCAGCUUUUAGAAUCAAUAGAAAGCAAGCAACAAUUGAAUUGCAUGUUUCUUAUCCUACAUAAAUUCUCUAGUCUAACCAUUUAUUCAAGGUAGCAAAAGAUUAACAUUAACGCUCUAGGUGAAUGCAUGAUUGCACUUUCAAUGAGGAUCCCUCAUUACAGUAUUUCAAUCUUAAAUCCAUGAACUCGGAUAUCUUCAAUUUGCCAAUAUUAUUCAAGGGUGUAAGGUCCAUGUCCUCUGCAAAGAACAGUUCAAUUAUCAUGUCUUGCCAGGAUCGUUGAGUUUUAAAUGGUGAGAUCAGCAGUUUAGUGGAUUUGAUCUCCAUUUUAGGUAUGAAUCAUGACAAGUACCAAUUAUAAGUGGGUCUCGAAUGUUUAGUGAAAAUUCACAUAAAUAUGUAAGUAUCAGCUGUUUAGCAUCUGAUGAACAUCAGCUGCUUUACACUAACAACAGCAUGAAACAACAUCAGCAGCUGCACAGGGGUGAGCGCUCCAACAUCAGCCAAGCAACAUAAGACUUCUACCAACCCAAUAGCUAAAGGGUGACUUCCCUUACAACAAGUCAAUUUACCCCAUCACAAAACCCUAUUUGUGCAGAUAUCCUCUGAUAUCAUCCAGUUUACACUUAUCAUACCUGGCUAGACCUAAUGCGGCGCUCAUCAAAUCAUUUACUCAGACCAUUAAUCUAUUCUUUGUCUUUUUUUCGUGAACAAUGUUCAGAAUAGGUGGCACUAUUAAACUUACUGUGCAUUGAGUUCCUACUUAUUAGUAAUCCAUCUCAACUUCCUGCCAUACCUUAAUCGCUUGACCCCCAUCAGGAAGUACUACGCGCCUUAAAUUUACUCGAAGACCUUAACAAUCUGCAUUCCUUCUAACUGUCCAAGGGCAACAUCACAACAAUCGACCAGCUUCAUUACAACCCCACCAAAAUCUCAACAAGUCCGAUCUUCGAGAACCCCGGAUCAGCAACACCAUCACUCAAACAUCAAGAAAGAGGAAAAUCCCAUAACAAAAUUAACCAUAAAAAUGGGACCAAGGAGGGACCUUUUCAUCGCAGGGUCGGCACAGGGCAGCCUCGUCGGCGGCACAGAACAGGACAGCCGGAGCGCUCUCGCAGACGUCGCAGAUAGUUCGCAUCUUCCCCUCCCUCUCAUCUCCCUCCCACCACUCCCCUUCACGCAUCCAUCCCCUCCUCCGCCUCCUUCGCUGCCGCCCUAGAUCCUCGGAGAAAGCGAUGAGGAGGGCGAGCGGAUCCGCAGGCGGCGGGCUGGUGUCGAUGGCCGUCCGAGGUGUUGCUGUUGCUGCGGCGGCGGAGUAGUAUUCAAGCCUUUAUUUUGGUGGACUUCCAGCUUCCUUGGCCAAGUUGCGAACAUGUCCCUCAGAAGCCAUAUAUCACGUGCUCAUCCCUAUCAAACCGAAACAUCUUUUACAUCCUCUACACCUUAAUAUUUCUACAAAAACCCUUAUACAAGGACGUAUAUGUAAGCUUUAUGCGUUUGAUUCUUACAUAUAGAUCCCUUAUAAGCGUGUAAUACUGGAAUGCAAGUAGCGAAGUGACAUAUUUUAGAAUUAUAAGGACUAUAAUACGAUAACUCUAGUUUGAGUGGGCUCGGUGGCUUGGAGGACACGUGGCGAGCAUUGGAGGCGGCUGCGAUGGCAGGAUGGCGAUCAACCACAAGUUGGAGAGAGAACAAGUGAAAACCAAAAAGAAACACUUGAACGCGCAAUCCACACGCUUUUAACUUCGACUCACCGGUCCCACAAUUUCUGUCCAAUAACAGAGGGGUAGUGGAAGUAUUACUGACGUGUGUGGGGCGCAAAAAUGUUGCGUGGUUUGUGGUUCGAGGAGCAAUCUUCCUUCUUAAGACUUGGAGAGCCGUCGAGACGUGGACACGUGCAAUUCAGUUUGGCUGUCCGCUGCGACCAACGUCACGACUAACGUUACGUGCCCGAGUAAGUCAAGGGGAUUACUCCAGUCGUCGGAUGUCGUAAGGGCCCCACCACGAAGCAUUAAAUAUUCCUUCGACCUUGGCUUUGGUUUCGGUGCGUAUCAGCGCGCAUAAACAAAUUAGUUUGAUCAUGUUGUAUGGACGGCUGAGAUGAAGGAACGGAGUUGACGGGUGGUGCAAGAUCUUGAUCGGCCGCGAGAUUUGAAGCGUGUGGGCCCGAAGAACCAACGGUGUUUCAUCCAAUGGUGCGGAGAGUUCAUGCAGUCAGUUGUCCGCAUAUGGGGGUGGAAAUGUCACGUGAGAACGGAAACGUACGCAGCUUCCAAGAAGGUCUGCCUUCACCACCCCUCCGCUUCGUGCGACUUCCUCGAUUAUAUAUCCGCGUAGCCCGCAUCUCCCUACCUCAGCAAGUCGCCUCCACCCGAACUAGUGUUAGAUCUUAUCCACUGCUCGGCGAUCAUGGAUGGGUUCCUCCUGGUUGAUGCAGGGGCGCGUCCGCGAGAGGACGCACGAGGCCGGAACGUCGUCAGCCAGGUUGUUUUCCUCGUCAUGGUGUUCUGCCUGUUCGACCUUUACCGUGCCAUUGAGAACAGCCCUGCGCCGGGGGAAGAGGCCGCCUUCGUGGUGCACAUCUUCACGGUCUACGUGAUGUGGCUGCUCGCGCUGGUCCUUACGCUGCUGCUGGUGAUGCCCCUCCCAGGCCACCGCUGAUGGUGACGGUGGCUGCGCAGGUGGCGAAGGGCGUCUUGUUAUUGUAGUACGAUCUCCCUCUUUUCGUAUUCCCAGGAAGAACUGUGAGUUGUUUGUUUAGCGGGAUUUACCUUGCUUAUUUUCUGUACUGAAAACAGAUGCAUAGUGAAGAAAAUAAAGAUAUUUCUACCCUGUGUUUACAAAGGUUUCUGGAUUGUCCCCAUCUGCAAGCUGAACUUUUCUUUUGUUUCUGAAGUGCUUCUGGGAAUUCACCCCAACGAGGUUUUACCAGCUUAUCCGACACUGGUGUAAAAGGAGGAGGAGAGAGACUUGUUUGCACAAAAUCCACAUUAGUUUCCUCUUUAGUAGACCCACCUACUUUGAUGAUUUGCUAGCACAAGCAUAAAAAAACUAAGAUCUGUUGUCGAAUAGCCGACAAAAGAGGAAUAUAAUGGGAUGACAGGAAAAGAGAGGCAAGAGGAUAAGAACCAGGUAAAUGUCAACCUUUGUGGUACAGAUAUAUUCGACGAUACGAACUCCUUUUGGCCUUUUCUCAUCUUUUCAAACCUCUUGACACAUAUCCAAACUAUUACCGUAUGUCGAGACUAAGUCCAAGGUUGUGCAAAUCACAAGUGACUGGGCAUGUUUCGGCAGACACGACAGCACACGGCCAACUAGUCCCCAUCACCUUAGC